ensembl:lncRNA
UUCCGUUGAAGAGAGUUUAAUGAGCAGCUACACGAUCAGACGUCAUUAGAGGGACAUUCAGCAGCUUAAUGUAACUUCACACAACCUUUACAAUCAUCAUGACAACAGCAGAAACCAACACGUCUGAGAGUCGCUACACAACACGAAAAACAACUAAAAACAUGACUCAGAAACUUCCAGAGUUCAACACUAAAGGACUCCGUCAUCGUUUCAUUCUGUCCAUUAGUGGUCGUUUUAGUCGCUUCUGUCUCUUUGGGUUCAUUUUGUGUCAAAUUCAGUUGUUUUUUGUGUUUACUUGUUUUUUUGGUCUCUUUAUGGUUGUUGUUUUUUUGUCUUUGAGUUAUUUUGCAUCUCUGUGGUCAAUUUGUUUGUCUUUGGGUUUGUUUUUUUUUUUUUAAAUCUCUUUGUGGUCGUUUUGUGACUUUUUAUGGUCAUUUUAUGUCUCUUUGUGGUCAUUUUUGGUGUCUUUGAGACAUUUUGCAUCUCUUUGUGGUCAUUUUGUGUCCCAUUGAGUUCUUUGAGUGUCUUUUGAGUCGUUUUGUGUCUCUUUGUGGUUGUUUUUAGUCUGUUUGUGGUCAUUUUGUGCUUAAUUCAGUUGUUUUUGUGGUUGUUUUGUGUCUCUUUGUGGUUGUUUUUUUGUUUGUCUUUGAGUCAUCUUGUGUCUCAAUGGUCAAUUAAUGUCUCUUUGUUAGUGUUUUUAGUCUCUUUGUGGUUGUUUCAUGACUUUUUCUAGUCAUUUUAUGUCUGUUUGUGGUCAUUUUUGGUGUCUUUGCGUCAUUUUGCAUCUCUUUGUGGUCAUUUUGUGUCCCACUGAGUUCUUUGAUUGUCUUUUGAGUCAUUUUGCAUCCUUUUUGGUCACUUUCUGAUCGUUUGGCAUCUCCUUGUGGUCAUUUUGCAUAUCUUUGUCAAUGUUUUUAGUCUCUUUGUGGUCGUUUUGUGCCUUUUCAUUGGCAGUUUGUGUCCCAUUGAGUUCUUUCAGUGUUUUUUCAGUUAUUUUGAAAAAACGUUGUGGUCGUUUUUUGUCCAUUUGUGGUCAUUUUGCAUCUUUUUUGGUCACUUUCUGAUUGUUUGCCGUUUCUUUGUGGUCAUUUUAUGAGUCUUUGUGGCCAGUUUGAAUUAUGUCCAAGUUGUUUGUAUCUGCUUGUUGUCUAACUGUCCAGUCAGAAAGGUUCAUGGGUUUUACUUGUGUGUCUUUAAACGUGUUUCUUCAGUUUCACCUGUUAAAGAGGGAUGGAGGCAUGUUUGAACGGCGACACUCAGACGUGACGGUUUCUGUUUCACAUCAUCAAAGUGGGAUUAAAGUUGAGCAGAGCAAAGCCUCCAAACAGAACCAGCUUCAGGCACAAACACUUUGACUUCACAGGGUGUCGAAUGACGCAGCUUUGUGUGUCUGAGCUUUUACUAAGCCUGUCGCACAAAACAGCAAAUCUCAAACAGCUGAGGGCGUCUUCAGACCUGCAGAUCGAUUGCUCUGGUCUGGAUCGGUGGAUCUUUACUCAGAGUUCUGUCCCCUCAAAAGGACAUUUUCUACUGC